GCAGUGCUCAAGCAGUGAGAAAUGGAGCUGUUGCAAAACACGGCCAAGCACAUCGUAGCCGUUUCCUGGUUCCUGCGCUUGACUCUAUGAACUUAACCUCUGCUGCCAGUUUUAUGUCAGCUUGACCCAAACUUGAGUCAUUUGUGAAGAGGUCGCCUCAGUUGAGAACAUGCACCUAUAGAAUGGCCCAUGGUGCUGGUGCUUUAAGAAAGCAGGCCGAGCAAACAAUGGAGAGCAAUCCAGAAAACACCCUUCUUCCACAGCCUCUGCAUCAGCUCCUGUCUUCAGGUUCCUCCUGUCUUUCCCUGACUUCCCUUCACGAUGGAUUGUAAUCUGUGAGGUCCCGCAAGCCUGGAAGGCAAGACCCUGCCCCUUACCUCGCCCUAAUUUGGAGGACAAGAGGAUGUGCGGAAGAGACUGUCCCAUCUGCCCCGGGACAGUACACAAGCAACCACAAUACAAACUAGGCCUUGCUCUUACUUGUCUUGCUCAACUCCUACCCGUUUUCCGCCCCGAGUCCCGGGUGCCAAUCAGCCCCCAGUUCGGCGCUGCGGACACUCACCACGCCACUCGAGGGACGGUUCCUGGAUGUGAGUCAAAUCUUGGGCGAUGCCCUGGUGAAUCCCCAGCAGCAGCAGCUGUUGCAGCCAGAGCAGCUGCAGCAUCGCUAACCAUUGCACCAUCAGGCACGCUAGGUGACACCCACGGGAAUCAGAACCGUGUCCCCUGCUCUGGACUAGGCUGCAGGAGGCAAGAGAAGCUACCACUCUUCUUGAGGACCACGCCAUCCCAGAGCCCUGGAGAUGAACUCGCCUCCCUUGUCGCCACAGCGUGUACACUUGGGACUCUGGGCGUGGAGACGCAAAUAGCGGAGUUUUCGCCGCCCCGCCCACACUGCUUUGGGGAGGGAGCAGGAAAAAGGGCCGGGCCCUGUGCAGCUUAAACACUCUGGCCUUUUGGGGUUAGGAGAAAGUAGGGCUAAAGCAGCACCGUGGCUCCCCUUCCCUGCUCCAUGAGUGCUCAAACUUCUCUCUCGGAUUUGCUGCAAUUCCUGGUCACCCGUCCCCAGUGUGGGUGAGCGAGCUAAUCCUCUCCAGGAGAAGAAACCUGCCCACUGGAUUUGCAAGGGUUUGGCUGCCGGCAGAGGAGUCAAAAGAGCUGCCGGGUGAACUCAGGCCCGGGAUGCCUCUGGAAUGCAGAGCACAGGAGACACCUAGGGGCCCAACCUGGUCUUCAACAUUGCUCCAGAGUAACCAGAAGUCACCUUCAGUAUCCAGCUUUAUCCUAUUUUAAAAUAACCCCAGGCUUCCGUUUUCUUAGAUCAUCUUCAUCUAAUCAAAUAUCCCACACUGUAGAGUUGAAGAACCCAGUCAGAAAGGUGUGUGACUGGAUCUCGGUUACUCCUUAACUCAACAAAACUUACUCCCUAAAUUAGUAGACAACAACAAAUAAAUACAAAACAUCAGGCUGCCCAAA
ensembl:antisense Gm13583 predicted gene 13583